AAAUCCGGUUCACUUUAACACUGAGGCGUGACGACGAGGCACUACGGUGCUGAAGCAACAAAUGCCCUGCUUCCAGGAAAAGCCUCUAAGCAUCAGGUAACAUCAAAUCGUACCCCAAACCGACACAGGUGGUCAGGUAGAGAAUACCAAGGCGCUUGAGAGAACUCGGGUGAAGGAACUAGGCAAAAUGGUGCCGUAACUUCGGGAGAAGGCACGCUGACACGUAGGUGAAGUGAUUUACUCAUGGAGCUGAAGUCAGUCGAAGAUACCAGCUGGCUGCAACUGUUUAUUAAAAACACAGCACUGUGCAAACACGAAAGUGGACGUAUACGGUGUGACGCCUGCCCGGUGCCGGAAGGUUAAUUGAUGGGGUCAGCGCAAGCGAAGCUCCUGAUCGAAGCCCCGGUAAACGGCGGCCGUAACUAUAACGGUCCUAAGGUAGCGAAAUUCCUUGUCGGGUAAGUUCCGACCUGCACGAAUGGCGUAAUGAUGGCCAGGCUGUCUCCACCCGAGACUCAGUGAAAUUGAACUCGCUGUGAAGAUGCAGUGUACCCGCGGCAAGACGGAAAGACCCCGUGAACCUUUACUAUAGCUUGACACUGAACAUUGAGCCUUGAUGUGUAGGAUAGGUGGGAGGCUUUGAAGUGUGGACGCCAGUCUGCAUGGAGCCGACCUUGAAAUACCACCCUUUAAUGUUUGAUGUUCUAACGUGGACCCGUUACCCGGGUUGCGGACAGUGUCUGGUGGGUAGUUUGACUGGGGCGGUCUCCUCCUAAAGAGUAACGGAGGAGCACGAAGGUUGGCUAAUCCUGGUCGGACAUCAGGAGGUUAGUGCAAUGGCAUAAGCCAGCUUGACUGCGAGCGUGACGGCGCGAGCAGGUGCGAAAGCAGGUCAUAGUGAUCCGGUGGUUCUGAAUGGAAGGGCCAUCGCUCAACGGAUAAAAGGUACUCCGGGGAUAACAGGCUGAUACCGCCCAAGAGUUCAUAUCGACGGCGGUGUUUGGCACCUCGAUGUCGGCUCAUCACAUCCUGGGGCUGAAGUAGGUCCCAAGGGUAUGGCUGUUCGCCAUUUAAAGUGGUACGCGAGCUGGGUUUAGAACGUCGUGAGACAGUUCGGUCCCUAUCUGCCGUGGGCGCUGGAGAACUGAGGGGGGCUGCUCCUAGUACGAGAGGACCGGAGUGGACGCAUCACUGGUGUUCGGGUUGUCAUGCCAAUGGCACUGCCCGGUAGCUAAAUGCGGAAGAGAUAAGUGCUGAAAGCAUCUAAGCACGAAACUUGCCCCGAGAUGAGUUCUCCCUGAGACUUUAGGUCUCCUGAAGGAACGUUGAAGACGACGACGUUGAUAGGCCGGGU
rnacentral:rRNA from 1 species